rnacentral:rRNA from 1 species
UACGUAGGGGGGCAAGCGUUGUCCGGAAUCAUUGGGCGUAAAGAGCGUGUAGGCGGCCCGGUAAGUCCGCUGUGAAAGUCGGGGGCUCAACCCUCGAAUGCCGGUGGAUACUGUCGGGCUAGAGUGCGGGAGAGGCGAGUGGAAUUCCUGGUGGUAGCGGUGAAAUGCGCAGAUAUCAGGAGGAACACCGAUUGCGAAGGCAGCUCGCUGGGACGUAACUGACGCUGAGACGCGAAAGCGUGGGGAGCAAACAGG